UGCAAAACUCCAGUCUCUGCCCCCACCUUCGCAUAACCUUUUCCGUGUCUCCUUACCUUCCUUUGCCUCUGUCUUGAAAAGACACUGAUGGCAUUUAGGACCCACCCAGCUAAUUCAGUGUGUUCUCAUCUCCAGAUCCUUGAUCAAGUCACAUGUGCAGAGACCUCUAUUUCAAAUAAGAGACGAGGUCUCACUAUGUUGGCCAGGUUGGUCUCGAAUUCCUGGCCACAAGCAGUUCUCCAGUCUGGGCCUCCCAAAGCGCUAGGAUUACAGGAACAGAAUUGCCAUUGGGCUCAGGGAGAGAUUACACUUCUUGUCUGCUUUGUUGCUAGUGUGGCCUUGUGGCCAAGCGCAGAACGUGUCCAGUGAUGAUGGUGCAACUUCUAGGUCGUCCCCAGCAUGGAAGAUGAGCCCUGGGCAUGGAAGAUGAGACCUGGUCCUGCAGCGGUGCUCUUUCCUCUUCUCACAAGCUGGAAUGUGAAUGUCCUCCCACCCAGCUUUGACCAUGGGGAGAAGAUAGUGCUCUGCAGUCUGGCAGAGCAACAAGGUGGAAAGGGCCUGGGUCCUUGAGUGACAUCAUGAGCCCUCUCACUGUCCUGGACCUUGGGACUGUUAUAUGAUAAGGACUUUCUGUGAGUCACUGUCUUUUAGAGUCUCUCUGUUUUAGCUGCCUGGACUUUAUCCUGAAUAAUAUGGCUGUUAUCAUGAG
rnacentral:lncRNA from 1 species